GACCUUCAGAGAUGAGAAAGUUGUCCAAAGGCCCCAGAAUUGUCUCUGUUGAGGGAAAUUGAGCAGGAAACUGCAUUUCUCCUAAUUUUCUGGCCACAGCAGAGCUAUGGAACCUUCUCAGUGGGGAACACAGGGGCCAACCUGGUCUUGUCCUCUAUUUCUUGUUUUACUUUACUUGUUGGUCCUUAAAGAAACCUCUCCAAUACCUCUUACGGUUCCCUGUGUACUUCCCCUCAACAGAUGCUUGUAAUUCUCAUCUAUCAAAACAGGACAAUUCCAUUAAUAAAUGAUACAGUUCAAACUCCCCACCUAAAGUGUGAGUUCAUCUUCAAGCUGGUGGGAGCUCGACUCCAGUUUUGGGACAUCCUUGAGCUUCUCUGGUUAUCUCUGACCCAGUCUGGAUGCUGCAGUCUAUUCUCUGGGUUCUUUCCCCAGCCUUUCAUUCUGCUGGCGUGAGCCACUCUCGCUCUGCGCUUGGCACAGCCCAUUCAGUGGUGAGCAGCACCUGAAAGGGCCUCCCCACUGAGGGCUGAGCACUGAAGGCAACGUCCACAGCACAGCCUCGUGUGUUUCAUUAUUUGAGAGGGUAAUGGAGCCUUACAGUGGUUACCCACCGCUGCUGGCACAAGGGAACUGCCCGGCCUAGGAAGCACCACAGUCCCAGAGAGGUUUAGCACUUGGCCUAGCGCCCCGUUCUGAUGGCAGCAGUUUUUGGGGAGCGUGGGUUGGAACAGCAGUGGAUCACAGUGAUGGCAGAUACUCCUGUUUAUGGGGAUUUAAUGGGAACUGCAGCACUAUUAAAUUUGAUGGAAAUCACUGCACACAACUUUACAUCCACCUUUUGGGAAACUUAUACAUUGAGGCAAAUUCUUCUCCUUACGAGAGCAGAGCGCACACAGAGAGGCAGGGGCAGCUCCAGCCAGCAGAGCUGGGCAGUGACACGUACACAAACACAGGUGGGUGGGUGUGUGUGUGUGUGUGUAUUUUUUUUUUUUCUGUUUUUCGAGGUGGAACAGCAGUGGGAUGCAUGGAGCCGUGUAUCCAGAGCCAUCUGUGUCCCCGGUCCUGUCUUUCACACGAUUUGGAGACAGUCUCCCGUUGCCAUGAAGAAAUCCUGCUACAGGAAAGGUCAAAGAGACCACGCUGCAUUCUUGCUUCUUGCCCCUCACCCUGCAAGGGCCAGACUGAGCACGUUUGGCUGGCCUGUCUUCCCCAGGAGCCUGAGCAGCUCCAAGGAGAGCGCUGGAAAGAUGGAUUGAGGAUCGCUGCUAGUGCACAGCACGCGUGGCAUUUUUCACCCUCACAUCACCAUGGGAUGCUGGGCUGGGAACUGACAACUCCUUACCCCAGUGCCUUAGGAGCUCGUGCUCUGUCAAGGGGCACCUUUGACUUCUGAACUGAGGAGGGCACGUGUGGCCUCUGCUGCUGGGGAGGGCAGCUCACAGUCCCCUGGGGAUGGGGUAAGGAAAGCUCCAGGCCUCUCUGCAGGGGUGACAGUGACUUUGAAACACAGUUUUUCAUCGAGAUUUCUUCUUGGACUGAAAGCGGUCUGUGUUAUGCAUGGAAGUUUUAGUGGAAAAUGUCACAGAUGCACAUUAUAUGAUUGGCUUUUCACAAGUAUUAAUACUAUAUGUGUUAUGUUGGAAAGUUAUGCUGUAUUAAUCUCUUUUAAGUAGUAGUGCUAUUAAUAUUUUUUAAGUAGUGUGGUAAAUAUUGUCUUUUAGCUAUAGCAUAAUAUUAAAAUAUGUGAUGUAAGAUACUUUUUGUAACAAGUGUAAGAAAUGGAAAAGAUAAUCAUGAGAUUCUUUGCAUUAUCCUAUUAAGAUAGAGAUAACAGCAACAAAACACCAAAAUUCCAAGAGAAUUAUUGCCUGCUUAUCUGGAACACUCAGACUUCGAGGAGCCAAGAAAAUUGAUUCACAAGAUGGGGGGGAAGCUAAAACUAAGCAGAAACACCCCAGUUUGAAAGGAAUGUUUGAAUCAUGUAUGAGAUAUAUGAAUAUGCAAGAGGUUAUUGCUCUGAGGGGUAAUCCUGUGUUAGCAAGGCGUGCUUUGAGGCAGAGUGCAAGGCAUCCAGACCUCUGUAGUUCUUUGCUUUUUAUUGCCUCGUAUUGUCCUAAUUUUUAUUACUAUUUUCCUUACUAUUAAACUUCUAAAAUUUUAACACAAGUGAAUGGCGGUUUUCACAGAAAACAACUGUAAUUGCUAAUAAAUAAUUCUCAUCAAUGUA